rnacentral:lncRNA from 1 species
UUCUCUCUCGCGAUUUCCGGCGAAUCCGCCCUAAUCCUCCUCAAUUUCAGUCACUGCAUCAUGUAUGAACCCUAUCCCACUCUCUUAGGUUAGAUUUGUUAGGUUUUUAAGUAGAUUUGAUGAUUUUGGAAUGAUAUUUAUAGAUUUUUGUUAGGGUGAAUGGUAGGAUUGUGUAAAAUCGAGUUUGAUUAUGGUAUUCAC